AGAGUUUGAUCAUGGCUCAGGAUGAACGCUAGCUACAGGCUUAACACAUGCAAGUCGAGGGGCAGCAUCAUCAAAGCUUGCUUUGAUGGAUGGCGACCGGCGCACGGGUGAGUAACACGUAUCCAACCUGCCGACAACACUGGGAUAGCCUUUCGAAAGAAAGAUUAAUACCGGAUGGCAUAGUUUUCCCGCAUGGGAUAAUUAUUAAAGAAUUUCGGUUGUCGAUGGGGAUGCGUUCCAUUAGGCAGUUGGCGGGGUAACGGCCCACCAAACCUACGAUGGAUAGGGGUUCUGAGAGGAAGGUCCCCCACAUUGGAACUGAGACACGGUCCAAACUCCUACGGGAGGCAGCAGUGAGGAAUAUUGGUCAAUGGACGAGAGUCUGAACCAGCCAAGUAGCGUGAAGGAUGACUGCCCUAUGGGUUGUAAACUUCUUUUAUACGGGAAUAAA
rnacentral:rRNA from 1 species